UACGUAGGGGGCAAGCGUUGUCCGGAAUCAUUGGGCGUAAAGCGCGUGUAGGCGGCCCGGUAAGUCCGCUGUGAAAGUCCAGGGCUCAACCCUGGGAUGCCGGUCGAUACUGCCGGACUAGAGUUCGGAAGAGGCGAGUGGAAUUCCCGGUGUAGCGGUGAAAUGCGCAGAUAUCAGGAGGAACACCGGUGGCGAAGGCGGAUCUCUGGGCCUUACCUGACGCUGAGGCGCGAAAGCUAGGGGAGCAAACAGG
rnacentral:rRNA from 1 species